rfam:Schistosoma margrebowiei strain Zambia genome assembly, scaffold: SMRZ_contig0000730
AUCCAGCUGACGAGUCCCAAACAGGACGAAACG